CAGCAGCCGCGGUAAUACGAAGGGUGCAAGCGUUAAUCGGAAUUACUGGGCGUAAAGCGUGCGUAGGCGGUGAGUUAAGUCUGCUGUGAAAUCCCCGGGCUCAACCUGGGAAUGGCAGUGGAUACUGGGUCACUAGAGUGUGGUAGAGGAUAGUGGAAUUUCCGGUGUAGCAGUGAAAUGCGUAGAGAUCGGAAGGAACAUCUGUGGCGAAGGCGACUAUCUGGGCCAACACUGACACUGAGGCACGAAAGCGUGGGGAGCAAACAGGAUUAGAUACCCCCGUAGUCCCUGUCUCUUAUAC
rnacentral:rRNA from 1 species